rnacentral:lncRNA from 1 species
GUGACUUGCCCUGUUUCACACAACCAGUCUGUGUCAAAGGCAGGAGUUGUAACCAGGUCUUCUGGUUGUCUGACCCUGGGCAAGUCACUUAACCCUAUUUGACUUAGUUUCCCCAUCUGUAAAAUGAGCCAGAGAAGGAAAUGGAUAAACUAUGCCAGUGUCUUUGCCAAGAAAGCCUCAUGUGGAAAGCCCAACAUGAUGGAAAAUUGACCGUACAAUUUCCUGACUCCAAGACCAACUUUUAAUCUUUUACAUCAUGCUGCCUCUCGUCCAUGCAUACAUAUGUAGGUAUGUUUGUAUAUAUAUACAUAGAUGUGUUUGUGUCCCUCUCUAAAAUUAUUGCCCAUUCUAGUGCCAGAAAUUCUCAUCAAAGAACUAAGUCAUGAGUUUCAGUGUCUGUGAGCUUCCAGUUACCAAAAGCAAUUGAUUUCCUAAGUCUACUUUCUUCCUCACAUAAAAUCACUCCCAUUCUGUUAAGGUGGUAUCCAGAUGAACUAUGCAAGAUUUGCCUGUAUCUCUCAUGGAAAGUAGUCACCAUAUUUGUUGAAUCACGAAAUCCAAGAAUUAGGAAGGACUUCAAAGAGCCUCUCGUUUAAUCCAUACCUGAAAUAAUCUCAAUGACAACAUGUUUGGUAAAACAAACAAACAAAAAACAUCAAAGGUCCUAAAGCAGCAGCUAGACCUACCUGACUAUGGACCAGUAUGAGGAAUGCAGACAUCCUAGCUGUGUCUCUCAAAAUGUCAACAAUCAGGGCUCCAGAGACACACAAGGGAACUCAAAGGGAUAACAAGCAGCUGGAACCAAGUUUUAAAGGAUCUUUGCCAUUCAGCCACACCGCCAACCCUAUGAUCGAGAAGACUGUGCCAGGGAAGUGCCAGCAAGGGCUGGAAGGUUGUCAAGCUGGAAAGUCUUUGAUUAUGGACCCCCCAACCGAGUGCAUCUACUUAAGGACAAGUUUUACUCUCUCCAGAGAGGAGGCUCAGUACCAGAAGGCAGGAAAAAUAGAGGGAAGAAUAUGCCCAGAUCCGGUCCUACUUUUAGUACUCAGUGCACCGUCUCUAACAGUAAGUGGACACAUUACUGGAAAAAACAAUUCUAUGAAAACUCUCAUUCUAAAUGAAACUCUAGGUAAAAGGAUGUUUCUGUUAGGUGAAAGGAUGACUCAUGGAUUUUCCUCAGAGAGGAGAGCAGAGUUGGUUACUUUGUGCCAACAAAUCAUUAAAUUAAAAAGAAUUUAUCAAGUGCCUUCUAUGUGUCAG